GAAAUUACUUAAAGCUUGGGGAAUGAUCUUGUGGGACAUCUGCUGUGUAAAUGAAACAUGGAGAUUUUGUAAAUGAAAAGUAAUUUGUAGGGAAUUCUUGUGUGCAGCAGAAAAUGGCAUUCUCCUGCAGGGAAAGGAAAAGGACAUUACUAACUAACAGUCUGCUUCCUUUCUUUUAGAAACGUAACAAUGACUUGUUGCACAGGUAGAGAAAAAUCUGGCCUCCCACCCAGGUGCAUUUGGAGGAAAGUUCUGAUGCUUGGCCCCAGAUUCACUCCAUGGUUUGGGUUCUAUUUUGGGAUCUGAAAGGGGUUCUAUUUUUUGAUUUGGACUGAGAUACUUAUGGUAAUCUCUAUGUCCUUAGAAAGGCAGAAGCUCAUAAGGUGAUGAGAGUUUUGAAGGAACAUGUGAUCCCUAUACAAUUCCCACUGCUUGAACUCUCCACUUGUGGACAACAAUCUUAAAAGAAAAAUUAUGGCAAUGAUACUGCUGAUCUUUAGUCCCUUUCUUUCCCCCAGAGUAUUAACCUGGUCUUUAGUGGCAUUUAAGCACUGCUUCUUCAGUUCAGCAACAGUUCUAUUACCCUGUGGCAUGUUAGGAAUUUUUUUUGAUCUGUUUCAUGUUUUUUAGAUCAGCCACUAGAUGGCACUUAAAGUUUGCUUUCUUUUCCACUUUUUUUCUAGAGGUAUUUUUCAAAGAUCUGUUCAUCUGUAAUUAAGAGUUGAUGACUCCCAUUGGGACUGUGUUGGCGGAAAGCAAGAUGCAGCAAUAUUUGAGUGAAAGCAGGCAAAAGUAUAACCAUUAAAGCGGGAACAAUGACUAUAAUUUAAAUAAGAUUUGGGUGGUUGCAGUGUUUGCAUAAUCCCUCCUGGCAUGCAAGAGCAGUAGAGAAGCCUGUGGCUUUGCUCUCCUGCUGCGUUUCAACAAAAAUGGAAAAUUGUAAUGAACAGCAACAUUUUUCCUAUCUUUCAUACUCACUCUCUUCUUACUCUUUCUUCCUCCAUUCCUUUAAGUGGAUUGCAAUCUACUUAAGGAUUGCAUUGUAAUGAAAUUAAUGUAUAGCUUGGUAAACUCUGCACUGGAUUUUCCAAAUCAGAUGCCUCUGACUGCAAGUUCAGAAUAUAAAUUCAAACUUACUUAGUAUGUGUUAACCCAGUAAGGGCAGGUGACACAUAGUAUCCUGAAUUAUGUAAAUUUUUACUAAGGUUACCUAGUUCUGUAUUGGUUGCUACUCCUGUAAUAACAUAGUCUGGAGCUCUUGUAUUUGUCUUCCCCCUCUUCUAUUUUUUUUUUUUUAAUAACUAACAUUGUAUUUUGGCUUAAAGAUGGUUAAAUAAGUUUUGGUAAGUAAACUUCUAUGACCCUGCCUAUUUCCUGUCCUGUCAAACCUUUCCUUGUAAGAAUAACAGUGUCCUUUUAUUUGGUGGAGUGUAGCAUGAUGUUUUUGGCAGGCUCAACAUUUUUGACUUGCAUAAAUUUGUGACCUCAAGUGCAAGAAAAGUGAAUGCUUGCUUCAGUGCCUCAUGGUUUCUGCCUAAAAAGAAAAGUGUCCACAUCGCUAACCAUUACAAUUUCUGAAGGAAAAUUAUCAGCACACUUAUUCCACCUGAUUGCACAUGACUGCACUUCCAAAGAAAAGAACCAGAAAUAAAAAUAAGUAUUUUGCACCUAGUUAUGUAAGGUACCAAAAAGCCUGAAAAUAUAGGGCAGAGUGUACUGCCUUCCUGGUUUCUAGAAUUGGCACACGUGGCGCUUCCCUCACUAGCAGCUAUUUGGCAAUCUCUGCCUCAGUAAGGAUGUGAUUCUGAAAAGUGUAAAUUUGGGGCUGCUGCUGGGCAGAGAAUGUCACUGCAUGGUUAAAGGUUGCAGGAUCAGGUCUGAAGUGAAUUUACGUAAUUAUUUUCCUACACUUUCCCUCCAUUAACUGUGGUUAUUUAGCUCUUUACCACCAAAGUGAUGCUUUUCCCCUACUCAGAACACAGCAAGAAAGCCUUUUACCCUGCCAAGUCUGCAAAACUGACAGAUUAAUUUUAUAUUGAGAGCCGUCAUCCAGAAAGUAACUACUGUAUUUGAAUAUGUAAAGUAUGUUUAAGCAAACAUAUGUGAGCUGUAUAUGCCUACUUACUUGUUUCCCCUUAGAUUUGGAUGGGUUUUUUCAUUAUGUCACAAAAAUUUUAUAGUAACAUUUGGCUUUGUAGAGAACAUUUGUAUGGUAAAUUUUGGAACAAAUACGAGGUUUGUAUCAAUUAAUAUUUCUUGUAGUCUUGAGCUGAAAAAAGUUAUCUUUUAUCUACUAUUGUUUAUAGCAAAGGAAUUAGUUUGCUUUCAUUUUGUAGGAGGAAAAAGAAAAAACAAACAGUCAUGAAUGUAGCAUCUUUGGCCAGAUUCUUUUAACAUGAGUCUUUUGUGGUUUAUGGAUUCCUAGUCUGAAAGGUUGUCUCCAAGUGUCCAAGACAAAAUAACUGUGUGUCCUAGUUGGAAGGAAAUGUCUUUCCUUUGCAGCUAAACUAACUGUGCCAUGUCUAGGAAGCAUGGCAGAGUAUAGUAUCCAAUGCUGCCUUGCUAACACACCUCAGUCCUGACUACAACCUCCCUGCCUGCCCAGCUUACACUCUGGUCACUGCCAGAUUCCAGGGACCCUUCCGUAGGGUGCAGGACAGAUCAAGGAAUCCCCACUUGUCAGGUUUUCACAGCAGCAAACACAAAACACCAGUCUUGCUUUCCUAGGCUUCCAUGUCACAGCUGUUGCUGGCAGGGAGCCAAGCUGUCAGCAUUACAGGUAAUUCAGGCCAUUCAAAUUCUGCAGGAAUUUAUUGUUCAUCCUAUCUAUGGCUGUAUCUUAGCAACAUAUGCAGGCUGGAGCAGUCAAAGAGAAGGAGGUGGUGUUUUGUUAGGGGAUAAAGUAGGAUAUUUCAAUCCUGUUCUUACCUUUCUUCUCAACUUGCAUUAAGGCCUCAGUAAUGUGAGAAAAUUGAAAAAGGAGCUGUGACAAUGACAGGAAAUCAUGCAUCCAGCAACAUUGCCCUUCCCAGAUGUGAAGAGGAGGUGGCUGAAUAAGAACAGACUCAGCACUCCCACUUCAUUAUUUUGGAUCUCCCUGGAUAGAACCUUUCCUCCUUGUGCCUUUGCUCAUUGAUCUCUACCUUCUGGAUCGCCAAACUUUCAUCUCCAGGUAUCUGUGCUAUGGCAGAGCUGGCAGCACUGAAAACAGACCUGUAAUCCUCUUGGGCACCUCUAGACUGGGAGAACUGGCACCACAUCGCUCUGAAUCUCAGCAAUUCAGAAUGAACAGCAGCAGCACCUUCAAGGAGAAAUCACCUGGACACAUGGACAGAUACACAGCCAACCCUACCAGCAACACCAGAAGCAUAAGAAUGCAGCUUAUCACACUUUUAGCAAGAACACAAGGCCACAGAAUAAACUAAAAAAAAAAACUGUUUUAUUGUGACAUUUAUGACAUUGAACCCUUGUUGAUAUGAAUGACUAUGGGUACUCUUGACA